UCUCUCCCUGUGGCUCCUGGACAGCUCCUGGCUGCCCUCCUUGUCCAUCUGAGGUUGGGAUCUUCUGCAGUCAGCUCACAUCUAAUGCCUGACACCCACACACAGCCAGGAAUGGGCAAGCCUCACCCAGGGAUAUUUUGCUGGCCUUUCACCGCAGCCAGACUGAUCAAUUGCUGUGUCCGUGCCUGUGUCCCCGGAGAGAAGCUCUCACCACCUCAGCAGGUCAGAAGAAACCCUUGAGCAAGAGAGCCAGACCCACCUCCUUCCUCCUUGCUGUCAGCCCAGAGGAGCCCAGUGCUGUUAUUUCAGUUCUGCUUCAUAGCAAAAUAGGGAUCAAUAACCCAUCUCUCAGCCCUGGACCCAGGCACAUGGUAGGAAACAGCUCUCAUGGCUUUAAGCUCAUCCCAAGGGCUGGCUUUUCACGCCCUGUGAUGUAGAGAGGAGAUGCCCAGCAGAACUAGGCCCUGCCUCAAACCCAUCUCUGCAUCUGCUGUGAAGUUGUGCUUUAUCAGGCCAACAGCCAGCAGGGGUGGGCUGAUUUUUCACCCCUUUUGAAGCAAAAGUCACAAACCUGUUAUUUUUCCUACAUGUCAGUUGAACCCAGAUUUAAUUGCUGUUCUCAGCACACAGGUUGAUGCACUCCUCCCCUGUCCCCCAUCUUCAGUGGUGUGCUGAGGUGACAGCUAAUUGAAGAGCACCAUCUCAUCUAUUGCUGCUCUUUGCAACUUGUGUUCAAGGCUGGUUGGGGAUCUGCCUCAGUCAGUGAUGCUGGGAAGGCUGUGGCUGAGCAGAUGUUGGGAACCCAAAGGAGAAGAGGAAGACAGCCCCAGAGGAGGCUACAGGCACUCAGAGAGGACAGCAGGCAAUUUUUGCGUGUGGCUUACAGCUACAGGAGGGCUUUGCUGGCAAGCAAAGGAGAUGCUGUCCCUGCUGAAGGAAGCUUCCUAGCAAGUGUUACCUAAGAGCACAAGCAAAGGGAUGCGGGACCAAGCAAAACAAAGGAUGUGAAGGGCUGGCAGGGGCC